UGUGCAUUCAGAGCAUCAACCAAUCCUUUCAUACAUGGCUCCUCCUAGUAUUUCAAAAUUCUCCCUUUCAAGAUCUUUCUUCUGCCAAAGAUGAAAAAUCUACCUUGUUCCGUUUCAAAUUCCUCAUCCUUUUCUUAUCCACUCCAUUCUUCCUCUUCUUCUUCAAUAAUCUUCUUUUGUUUUCUUUUCCCAGUAGACCUAGGUCUUUUAGCAAAUGAGGAUUCAGCAGAUAUGGGUAUAGAGGAAGUCUUUCUAGUCGAAGUCUUGGAACCAUUUGGUUUAGGUGAUGGUACCUUUUCAGUUGUUUCUCUUUCUUGAUGGACCAGGUCAAUCUUCUUUUCUUCUUCCCCUUCUACCUCGAUACUCUCCACAACUUUCGCCUUCCCUUUUUCUCUUUUUUUCCUCUUGCUUUCUUCCAGUGCUUAUGCAAUUGUUCUUCACUUUGUUUGACCCUGCUUCUAGUUGCUCUUGAGGGGACAGUAGACUUAGGGGUUGAUGUAUUAGUUUUCUUUCUUGGCUUGGAAGCAGUUGGAGCUUUUAAGGAAUAAGCCUUACGAUUCUUUGGAUCAUAACUGGCUCCAAUUUUCUUUAGAAUAUCAUGUAGGGUUUCCUCACUAGAUGAACUACUUCUAACUUGUUGUUUACCUAGAUGAACAAGACCUUCUGCAGUAUCCCCAGAGCUAUUUCCCCC
rnacentral:lncRNA from 1 species